AUUCUGUGAAACACUUUAUUAUUAAGUUUCUGUGGCUGACGUGAGGCAUUGGGAUAUUUAUAAUAAUUCACAAUUUAAUAAAAUGUUCAGAUUUUAGUCAUGUGUAUAGUCUGAAGACCAUAAAGUGAUUAUAACCUUUGUUUUCAGUGUAAAUAGCUCAGCUACAAUGCAUUGAUUCAUAGUUUUUUACUGAAAUAAUGAUAGACAAGAUGCAUAUGAUAAGUUUCCUAUGGAAUAUAUGAUUGGUGAGAGUAGCCGAUUUUCCUUAAUUACUAUACUCAAUGAAUUCUUAUUCUCAAGGGAAUGAAUCUUGGCUUGAGGAAGCCCAUUGGUAAGAGAGAUCUUCUGUACUGUUGCUAAUUAAUAAGAAGAAAGGUUAGAUUAAGAUUAAAUUUAGUCACAAGCAAUCCAAACGUGUACUUCCUGUUUGGUUAAAUGUGUGUUGAGGCUCGGGGAGAGCUGUGAAGGCAAGAUUAAGAUAAGAUCCUAUAACACUGGAGUCUGUGUCCGGCCUCUGAAAGCAUUCCCUUGCCCACUUGGUAAAUUCUUUUACACCAAUUCCAUCAAUGAACAUACCUCAGGGAUUUUUGUUUGCCCAUUUGUUUUCAGGAUUGUGUUCGUUUACAAUUGCUGUGUAACAUAUUAUCAGAAACUUGGUGGCUUAAAACAACACAAGUUUAUUUUCUUACGGCUCUGGAGGUCAGAAGUCUGAGAUGUCUCACUGGGCUGAAAUGAAGGUGUUGGCAAAGCUCCUUCUGUUGGCUCCAGGAGAAAUCCUGUUUCUUUGCCUUUUCUAGCUUCCAGACAUCACUUGCAUUCCUUGGCUUGUGGCCACCUUCCUCCAUCUUCAAAGCCAACAAUAGAGGGACGUGUUCUCACAUCACAUCCAUCUGACCUUCUCUUCUGCCUCCUUCUUUCACUUCCUAACAUAAUCACAAGUUCCAGGAAUUAGGAGUUGGCCAUCCUUCGGAGACCAGUAUUCUGCCAAAGGGUGGAUGAAUGAAGUCUUCCAUGUUUGAUAGUGUGAAUGCAAAUUAUUUUCCUAGACUUUGAGAAAGAUGAACAGAUCAGUGGGCAUGUUCCAUGGACAAGAGCAGCAUGGACACGAUGAGUAAGACUGCUCUGCCUUGAGGUGGCUUGUGUCUCCUCAUUUGGUGCAGUUGGAUGUAUAAAGUGAUAGAAUUUGGAAUAUUGGACUUCACCCAUUUUCUUGGUACCCUCGGCCCCUCUGACAUUCUCUUAGCCCCCAAAUAAUGAUUAAUAUCUACAUUGAUAGGCAGAAAUAUUUCUAUAUAUUCUGACUAAUGUAACUUAAUUCUUUAGGGCUUUGUCACAAAAUCCAUAUCCUAGGCAAUAUUUCCACAGAAUUCCUGUGCCAAAGAUGCUUAUAAAAUGUAGGAAUAAAAAACUAGGGAGGUCUCAAGUAAUUAAAGGGUUCUCCUCUGAGUCUCUCUCUGCCAUGGUUUAAAGUUUUAGACUCAAGAGCUAUCAGGGGAGAGGACAUUUGAGUUCUUAGAAUCAGCCUUGGCUUCUUUAAUACCUCAUUUUAAACAACUGAAUUAAAUUCACAUAGUAAUUCUAAGAAGAUGGUAUAUCUGUGUUUUUUCUACCUUUUAAUGAGAAUUUAUUACUUUGCAUGCAUUUCUAUUGUAAUUUGAACUAAAUCUACUCAUCUGAAAGAUGAUGAAAAACUAAUAUUAACAUUGCUUACAGUACUUCCAGUAGCCUCACCAAAUGGUUUUAUGAUUUCAUGUUCUUCUGUUUCUCGCAACUGGAUUGAAACAAAAGAACAUCAUUUUAUUUUUUAAUAAAUAAAUAACUUGAAAAGAUACAUGCACCCCAAUGUUCAUAGCAGCAUUAUUUACAGUUGUCAAGAUAUGGAAGCAACCUAAGUGUCCAUCAGUA